rnacentral:rRNA from 1 species
UACGUAGGGGGCAAGCGUUGUCCGGAAUCAUUGGGCGUAAAGCGCGCGUAGGCGGCCCGGUAAGUCCGUUGUGAAAGUCAAAGGCUCAACCUUUGAACGCCGAUGGAUACUGCCGGGCUAGAGUCCGGAAGAGGCGAGUGGAAUUCCUGGUGUAGCGGUGGAAUGCGCAGAUAUCAGGAGGAACACCAGUGGCGAAGGCGGCUUUCUGGACGGUAACUGACGCUGAGACGCGAAAGCGUGGGGAGCAAACAGG